rnacentral:rRNA from 1 species
AUUGAACGCUGGCGGAAUGCUUUACACAUGCAAGUCGAGCGGCAGCGCGGGGGCAACCCUGGCGGCGAGCGGCGAACGGGGUGAGUAACAUAUCGGAACGUACCCCGUCGUGGGGGAUAACACAGCGAAAGCUGUGCUAAUACCGCAUACGACCUGAGGGUGAAAGCGGGGGAUCGCAAGACCUCGCGCGAUGGGAGCGGCCGAUAUCGGAUUAGCUUGUUGGUGAGGUAAAGGCUCACCAAGGCGACGAUCCGUAGCUGGUACUGAGAGGACGACCAGCCACACUGGAACUGAGACACGGUCCAGACUCCUACGGAGGCAGCAGUGGGGAAUUUUGGACAAUGGGGGGCAACCCUGAUCCAGCCAUUCCGCGUGAGUGAAGAAGGACCUCGG